AGAGUUUGAUCCUGGCUCAGAUUGAACGCUGGCGGCAUGCUUUACACAUGCAAGUCGAACGGUAACAGGCCGCAAGGUGCUGACGAGUGGCGAACGGGUGAGUAAUGCAUCGGAACGUGCCCAGUCGUGGGGGAUAACGCAGCGAAAGCUGCGCUAAUACCGCAUACGAUCUAUGGAUGAAAGCGGGGGACCGUACGGCCUCGCGCGAUUGGAGCGGCCGAUGUCAGAUUAGGUAGUUGGUGGGGUAAAGGCUCACCAAGCCGACGAUCUGUAGCUGGUCUGAGAGGACGACCAGCCACACUGGGACUGAGACACGGCCCAGACCCCUACGGGAGGCAGCAGUGGGGAAUUUUGGACAAUGGGCGCAAGCCUGAUCCAGCAAUGCCGCGUGCAGGAAGAAGGCCUUCGGGUUGUAAACUGCUUUUGUACGGAACGAAAAGGCUCUGGUUAAUACCUGGGGUUGAUGACGGUACCGUAAGAAUAAGCACCGGCUAACUACGUGCCAGCAGCCGCGGUAAUACGUAGGGUGCAAGCGUUAAUCGGAAUUACUGGGCGUAAAGCGUGCGCAGGUGGUCAUGUAAGACAGAUGUGAAAUCCCCGGGCUUAACCUGGGAAUUGCAUUUGUGACUGCAUGGCUAGAGUGUGGCAGAGGGGGAUGGAAUUCCGCGUGUAGCAGUGAAAUGCGUAGAUAUGCGGAGGAACACCGAUGGCGAAGGCAGUCCCCUGGGCCUGCACUGACACUCAUGCACGAAAGCGUGGGGAGCAAACAGGAUUAGAUACCCUGGUAGUCCACGCCCUAAACGAUGUCGACUGGUUGUUGGGAGGGUUCCCUCUCAGUAACGUAGCUAACGCGUGAAGUCGACCGCCUGGGGA
rnacentral:rRNA from 1 species